rnacentral:sRNA from 1 species
CAGGGAGCUAUGUGGUGGCCUGAGGCUCCAGUGCUCUGUCCUCCUCACCCUAGGGGGCCAACUGUAGCUCAGGAGCCUCGUUCUCAGGCCGGACACUGUGUCACCCCUCCUUCUGGCCGCUGUACGAGGCAGCCUCGGGCAGGGGUCUCAGGCCCGUGGCCCCUGCCACAGGGCACUGGAAUGGACAGCAGGCGCCCCCAGAUGCAGGUACCUCCCUUGGUCCCCUGGGGGCGCAAGGCUGCCCCAACUCCUCCAGGAACCAGUGCCCAGGGGUGGGAGCCCGCAGCCCGCCACCCUAGUGGUGUUUCCUCCUAGGGUUCCCGGUGAUGUGCUGUGAAGACAUCUUCCUCUCGGACCCUCUGCUGCCCCGGGGGCAGCGUGUUCCCCUGUACCUGUCCAAGGCCCCCCAGCAGGUGAGAGCUCUUUCCCCUCCCUGUCCUUACCCCAGGCUUGCCUGGCAGGAAACACAUUCCAUUCUCUCUCCUCAGAUGAUGGGCUCCCUGAAACUGCUGCCGCCGCCCCCCAUCAUGUCUGCCAGGGUGCUCCCCCGCCCGUCACCCUCCCGGGGCCCCUCCACUGCCUGGCUCAGCGGGCCGGAGCUGAUUGCUCUCACUGGCCUGCUGCAGAUGAGCCAGGGGGAGCCUAGGCCCAGCUCCUCCGCGGCUGGCCCCCCAGACCCUACCUCUGACCCACCCAGUCCCUGUGGUAGCCCCAGUAGUUCUCAGGGUGCUGACCUCUCUCUC